AACGAACGCUGGCGGCGUGGAUAAGACAUGCAAGUCGAACGGGAUUAUUUUUGUAGCAAUACAGAAAUAAUUCAGUGGCGAACGGGUGCGUAACACGUGGGCAAUCUGCCGAAAAGUGGGGGAUAGCUCGCCGAAAGGCGAAUUAAUACCGCAUGUGGUGAGGGACGACAUCUUCCUGAAUCCAAAGCCGGGGUAACCUGGCGCUUUUUGAGGAGCCCGCGGCCUAUCAGCAGUUGGCGGGGUAACGGCCCACCAAGGCUUUGACGGGUAGCUGGUCUGAGAGGACGACCAGUCACACUGGAACUGAGACACGGUCCAGACACCUACGGGUGGCAGCAGUCGAGAAUUUUUCUCAAUGGGGGAAACCCUGGAAGGAGCGACGCCGCGUGGAGGAUGAAGG
rnacentral:rRNA from 1 species